rnacentral:rRNA from 1 species
UGCGAGGGGGGCAAGCGUUGUUCGGCUUUAUUGGGCGUAAAGGGUGCGUAGGCGGUUUGGCAAGUCUUAUGUGAAAUCUAUGGGCUCAACCCCUAGUCUGCAUGAGAAACUACCGGGCUUGAGUAUUGGAGAGGUGAGUGGAAUUUCCGGUGUAGCGGUGAAAUGCGUAGAUAUCGGAAGGAACACCUGUGGCGAAAGCGGCUCACUGGACAAUAACUGACGCUGAUGCACGAAAGCUAGGGGAGCAAACAGG